rnacentral:rRNA from 1 species
AUUGAACGCUGGCGGCAGGCUUAACACAUGCAAGUCGAGCGGGGUGAUGGUGCUUGCACUAUCACUUAGCGGCGGACGGGUGAGUAAUGCUUAGGAAUCUGCCUAUUAGUGGGGGACAACAUCUCGAAAGGGAUGCUAAUACCGCAUACGUCCUACGGGAGAAAGCAGGGGAUCACUUGUGACCUUGCGCUAAUAGAUGAGCCUAAGUCGGAUUAGCUAGUUGGUGGGGUAAAGGCCUACCAAGGCGACGAUCUGUAGCGGGUCUGAGAGGAUGAUCCGCCACACUGGGACGGAGCCACGGCCCAGACUCCUACGGGAGGCAGCAGUGGGGAAUAUUGGACAAUGGGAGGAACCCUGAUCCAGCCAUGCCGCGUGUGUGAAGAAGGCCUUAUGGUUGUAAAGCACUUUAAGCGAGGAGGAGGCUCUUUUGGUUAAUACCCAAGAUGAGUGGACGUUACUCGCAGAAUAAGCACCGGCUAACUCUGUGCCAGCCGCCGCCGUAA